ensembl:lncRNA
GUUGUGGUACUGUAGCUAGGGUAAUGUGGUAGUCCACUAGCUAGGGUUAAUGCCAGUAGCUAGGGUAAUGUAGACCAGUAGACAGGGUAAUGGUGUCGUCCAGUAGCUAGGGUAAUGUUGUUGUCCAGUAGCUAGGGUAAUGUUGUUGUCCAGUAGCUAGGGUAAUGUUGUGGUCCAGUAGCUUGGGUAAUGUAUUCCAGUAGCUAGGGUAAGGUUGUGGUCCAGUAGCUAGGGUAAGGUUGUGGUCCAGUAGCUAGGGUAAUGUUGUGGUACUGUAGCUAGGGUAAUGUGGUAGUCCACUAGCUAGGGUUAAUGCCACUAGCUAGGGUAAUGCAGACCAGUAGACAGGGUAAUGUUGUGGUCCAGUAGCUAGGGUAAUGUUGUGGUCCAGUAGCUUGGGUAAUGUAUUCCAGUAGCUAGGGUAAUAUUGUGGUCCAGUAGCUAGGGUAAUGUUGUGGUCCAGUAGCUAGGGUAAUGUUGUGGUACAGUAGCUAGGGUAAUGUGGUAGUCCUUUAGCUAGGGUUAAUGCCUCUAGCUAGGGUAAUGUAGACCAGUAGACAGGGUAAUGUUGUUGUCCAGUAGCUAUGGUAAACAAUGUGGUCCCGGAUCCAAACUAUCAGCCCUACGCCGAAUUACCGACCCUUAACUCCCCACCGGGUUGUUUAAAUUCCAUUGCGACGUAGAUUUAGAAAGGGAAAGCUGUUGAACGCAUAGCUCGACUGUACCGCCAACACCCUGUCAACCCAGCUCAUGGUCGUCUGUCAGAUCUCUAACCCGGAAGGCAGCCUACCUGGAGUCGAACACUGCUUCGUGGGGAGUCCAUUCGGUAUAAAAUUCAGUCCAGACGAAGACUCCAGAGAAGCGGGGCGGCCGGGAUUUGGUGUGUCGGGGAGAGGUCUGUCGGGCUGGGUGCUGCGGUCUUCGGCUGACGGUGACGCAGAGCCGUGACGAGCGGCCGGGGGCGGGAGGCGGAGGAAUCCUCCCCGGCCGCGGAGCGCCCGGACACGGCGUCAUCUUCUCCAACGACCCGGGGCGACCUCCAGACGGGUUGGUUGUUGGCGUUUGUGAGGGGGGCGUGGCCGCGGGGUCGAGCAGGAGGUGUGUGUGUGGCGCCCCCCCGUGGCCACGGGGAUGAGCCGCAUGGUGCAUUGAGUCAUAAGAAAACAGAUCACAUCGCUUCUAUUGGCCUCUCAACACAUUUCUUUUUCAAGUAGAACAGAGCAAACACAGCCAAGUAGAAAAACACUCAAUAAUUCUUUGUUUUCAACAAGGGGAGUAUAAACCACAGUAAUGGCCACCUCCAUCACUUCAUCCAAAGGAAGGAGUGGUCACAAUAACACACAACAUACAAAUCCUGUGGUUUUCACCCAACCUCUAAAAGCAGGACCAACAACAUGCCACCAUUUUGCCAGUUAUCAGAUAUAGUUUGUUUCAUGGCGGACAGAGUUAUCCAACAUAGUGCAGUUCAAAAUGCUCCCACUGUCGACCACUUCAGCGGGAGUCACAACACAAACAAGGAGUUGAUCACAACACAAACAAUGAAGUGAUCACAACACAACAAGUGAUCACAACACAAGUGAUCACAAAAAGGUCACCCGAAAACCGAUCCACAAUCUCUCUUCUCUUCACCCGUUUCUGCUUCAUGAGCUGCUGCUCCACAGUGAAAUAUACACCUUCUCAAGGCCUGUCUGUCUCUCUUUCUCUUCUCACGGCCUGUCUCUCUCUACAGAAGGCCUGUCUCUCUCCUCUUCAUAAGCGCGCACUCUCUCCUCUUCAUAAGCUCUCUCUCUCUCUCUCUCUCUCUCUCUCUCUCUCUCUCUCUCUCUCUCUCUCUCUCUCU